UGGUGGCGAUAGCGAAGAGGUCACACCCGUUCCCAUACCGAACACGGAAGUUAAGCUCUUCAGCGCCGAUGGUAGUCGGGGGUUUCCCCCUGUGAGAGUAGGACGCUGCCA
rnacentral:rRNA from 1 species